CGCCCAAUGAGCAAUGCAGC
rnacentral:rRNA from 1 species